CGACGAUCAGUAGCGGGUCUGAGAGGAUGAUCCGCCACACUGGAACUGAGACACGGUCCAGACUCCUACGGGAGGCAGCAGUGGGGAAUUUUGGACAAUGGGGGCAACCCUGAUCCAGCCAUUCCGCGUGAGUGAAGAAGGCCUUCGGGUUGUAAAGCUCUUUCAGCUGGAACGAAACGGUACGCUCUAACAUAGCGUGCUAAUGACGGUACCAGCAGAAGAAGCACCGGCUAACUACGUGCCAGCAGCCGCGGUAAUACGUAGGGUGCGAGCGUUAAUCGGAAUUACUGGGCGUAAAGCGUGCGCAGGCGGAUUGUUAAGCAAGACGUGAAAUCCCCGGGCUUAACCUGGGAAUGGCGUUUUGAACUGGCAGUCUAGAGUGUGUCAGAGGGGGGUAGAAUUCCACGUGUAGCAGUGAAAUGCGUAGAGAUGUGGAGGAAUACCAAUGGCGAAGGCAGCCCCCUGGGAUAACACUGACGCUCAUGUACGAAAGCGUGGGUAGCAAACAGGAUUAGAUACCCAUGGUAGUCCACGCCCUAAACGAUGUCAACUGGUUGUUGGGGGAGUGAAAUCCCUUAGUAACGAAGCUAACGCGUGAAGUUGACCGCCUGGGGAGUACGGUCGCAAGAUUAAAACUCAAAUGAAUUGACGG
rnacentral:rRNA from 1 species